UAGAGUUUGAUCCUGGCUCAGAACGAACACUGGCGGCGUGGAUUAGGCAUGCAAGUCGAACGAGAAAGUUCUCUUCGGAGAGCGAGUACAGUGGCGAACGGGUGAGUAACGGGUGGAAAACCUGCCCUUCAAUGGGGGAUAACAGUUCUAACGAGCUGCAUACCGCAUACGACCUUUGGAUCGCAUGAUCUGAAGGUGAAAGGUGGCCUCUCUAUAGAAGCUGCCGUUGAAGGAUGGUUCCGCCUCCCAUUAGCUUGUUGGUGGGGUAAUGGCCUACCAAGGCGACGAUGGGUAGCCGGCCUGAGAGGGUGUCCGGCCACACUGGGACUGAGAUACGGCCCAGACUCCUACGGGAGGCAGCAGUCGAGAAGCAUCCGCAAUGGGCGAAAGCCUGACGGUGCGACGCCGCGUGAGUGAAGAAGGCCCUAUGGGUUGUAAAACUCUGUCAGAUUGGGAAGAAAGCUCUAUGCGAACAGGCCCGUGAGCUGACGGUACCAUCAGAAGAAGCUCCGGCUAACUCCGUGCCAGCAGCCGCGGUAAUACGGGGGGAGCAAGCGUUGUUCGGAUUCAUUGGGUAUAAAGGGUGCGCAGGCGGCUGAAUAAGUGGGGUGUUAAAUCCCCCGGCUCAACCGGGGACGUGCACCUCAUACUGUCUAGCUAGAGGAUGGGAGAGGUAAGUGGAAUUCCUGGUGUAGCGGUGAAAUGCAUAGAUAUCAGGAAGAACACCAGUGGCGAAGGCGGCUUACUGGACCAUUCCUGACGCUGAGGAGCGAAAGCUAGGGGAGCGAACGGGAUUAGAUACCCCGGUAGUCCUAGCCGUAAACGAUGGGUACUAGGUGUGGGAGGUAUCGACCCCUCCUGUGCCGGAGCUAACGCAUUAAGUACCCCGCCUGGGGAGUACGGCCGCAAGGUUAAAACUCAAAGGAAUUGACGGGGACCCGCACAAGCGGUGGAGCAUGUGGUUUAAUUCGACGCAACGCGAAGAACCUUACCCAGACUUGACAUGCACGGGACCGGUGUUGAAAGACACCUUCCCUUCGGGGCCCGUGCACAGAUGCUGCAUGGCUGUCGUCAGCUCGUGCCGUGAGGUGUUGGGUUAAGUCCCGCAACGAGCGCAACCCUUGUCGUUAGUUGCCACCAUUAAGUUGGGCACUCUAGCGAGACUGCCGGUGGUGAACCGGAGGAAGGUGGGGAUGACGUCAAGUCCUCAUGGCUCUUACGUCUGGGGCUACACACGUGCUACAAUGGUCGGUACAAAGCGCUGCGACGCCGCGAGGUGGAGCCAAUCCCAAAAAGCCGGCCUCAGUUCGGAUUGGAGUCUGCAACUCGACUCCAUGAAGUCGGAAUCGCUAGUAAUCGCUGAUCAGCAGGCAGCGGUGAAUACGUUCCCGGGCCUUGUACACACCGCCCGUCAAGCCACGAAAGUCGGUAGUACCCGAAGUCGGUGUGCCAACCCGCAAGGGGGGUAGCCGCCUAAGGUAAGACCGGUGAUUGGGGCUAAGUCGUAACAAGGUAGCCGUA
rnacentral:rRNA from 1 species